UUGAUCCUGGCUCAGAAUGAACGCUGGCGGCAGGCCUAACACAUGCAAGUCGAACGCAUCCUUCGGGGUGAGUGGCGGACGGGUGAGUAACACGUGGGAACGUACCCUUUGCUACGGAAUAGUCUCGGGAAACUGGGGGUAAUACCGUAUGUGCCCUACGGGGGAAAGAUUUAUCGGCAAAGGAUCGGCCCGCGUUGGAUUAGGUAGUUGGUGGGGUAAUGGCCUACCAAGCCGACGAUCCAUAGCUGGUUUGAGAGGAUGACGAGCCACACUGGGACUGAGACACGGCCCAGACUCCUACGGGAGGUAGCAGUGGGGAAUCCUAGACAAUGGGGGAAACCCUGAUCUAGCCAUGCCGCGUGAGUGAUGAAGGCCUUAGGGUUGUAAAGCUCUUUCGCUGGGGAAGAUAAUGACGGUACCCAGUAAAGAAGCCCCGGCUAACUCCGUGCCAGCAGCCGCGGUAAUACGGAGGGGGCUAGCGUUAUUCGGAAUUACUGGGCGUAAAGCGCACGUAGGCGGACCAGAAAGUUAGGGGUGA
rnacentral:rRNA from 1 species